rnacentral:lncRNA from 1 species
UUACAUGUCUAGGCUGUGUGGUUGGUGGUGAAUAGGCUUCUUUUUACAUGGUGCUGCCAGCCCAGCUAAUUAAUGGUGCACGUGGACUUUUAGCAAGCGGGCUCACUGGAAGAGACUGAACCUGGCAUGGAAUUCCUGAAGAUGUUUGGGGUUUUUUUCUUUCUUAAUCGAAAGUUAACAUUGUCUGAAAAGUUUUGUUAGAACUACUGCGGAACCUCAAAAUCAGUAGAUUUGGAAGUGAUUCAAAGCUAAACUUUUUCCUUGGCCCUCCUUGUGUUCUAAUUGCUUGCAAGUGUAAUACUAGGAUGUCCAAGAUGCCAGUUUUUGCUUCUUUGUUAGUUGUCAGCUGCUUUUAUCAAAUUUCAGGCCAUUAUCCAACAAACACUAUAAAAAUGUUUGAACAAUUGGAUUUCAAACAUUUUCGUUUUGUGGAGUGGUGCUCACCAAGUGGUACAGCCCUAAGCAAGUGAACACAAACACAUUUAAGUGUAUUUUGUCUGAUUAGAUGUUAGCCAGUUAUGCUAUUUCAUUCAAAUGUCUGAAAAAAUCAAUUGACUAUUCCCUUUUCCUAAAGGGCAGAGACAGAUAAUCUCACUUCCAGAGAAAUGACUUGGAGAAAAAAAAGUGUUGGUCUUUUUGCUCUUUUGUAAUUAAAUCCGGAUGUACCUCAAAAGACUUAAGACUGUGGUGAUAAGAUGCUUUCCUCAGCAGAAAGGAGGGAAAAAAAACAACUGGAACUCAAAGCUUGAAAUUCUGUGGCAAAACAUGAGAUGUCCAGGAUUGGAGGUUGAAAAGAUUUCACUACAGUGUUCUGCAAUAGUUGGAGCAGAUAACUUUCAGUGUAGCCACAGCCAUGGACUCCAGAUUUCCAGAUUUUCAAGACCUGGACCUGGAACCCGAAAGAGCUUGUCACGAUGCGGCAGGAACACUGGAGGUAGAUUUUUUUUUAUUUUUGAAUUUUGGGACUGUUGACCUUGCUGUGAGAAAAGAGACAACGACUGAGCAAGCACUACCACCAGCACUGUUACUGGGAAUUAGAAGACCUGAGUUUCUGUCCAGACCCUCAGUGCAAACUGAGGAUGCUCCAUCCAAAGUGAAUUAUGUCCUGUGCCUCCUGAUUGCUGAGUGUUCACCUGGACCUUCUGACUACCUUCCCUGUGCUAUUCCAUCAGCCUACAGACCUGGUACCUGGAUUUUUGCCCGAGAUGAUUCCUACCACCUUACUACUGACGAAGACACCCAUUCCAGUGGACCACUGUGACCCAGGAGGCAUUCAGCCAUCAUGAUGUGGCCUUUACCUCCACUCCUGUCUUGUUCUACCCAGAUUCAGCACAGCCCUUUAUAGUGAAGUCAGAGUCCUCAAGCCAAAUAGCUAAAGCUGUUUUAUCACAACAAAGGCCUAGUUUGUUCCAUGAGUGUGCAUUUCAUUUCUUCAGUUAAAGCCUUCAGAGACACACAAUAAAUUUGGACCAGGGGAUUUUUUAGUUAUUAAUGCUCUCUGAAGAAAGGCAACAUCUUUUUGAGAGCAGCAUUGGACCACACCCCACAAUCUCAAAUGAUUGAAAUUCAUGAACAUCUAGGAUCCCGUGAAGGUCACUGGACCCUGUUUUUUCUACUUCAAAUCCUGUAGUAGCCUACUGAAUGAGAAAACAUAUUCUGACCCAUUGGGAUCAAAUCAAAGGCACAGUGAACUCCUCAUAGCAUCUUCUUUGGAAUUACUCAGGAACCAGAACUUUUUACACAAAUGUAAGAAAUUCUACCAAGGAGUCCCCUUACCUAACAGCAUCUCACAAGGCUGCACCAGAUUCCAGAAAAGGCUUCUCUUGAUACAUCAAGGUAGAACCUCUAUGCAUUUUGUGACCGACUUAUUCUUAGAUCAUUGGUUUUCCAAAGGCUUUGUGGCCAUGAAGCCCUUUGAGUGAAAACUGUGCAGAAGCCCAGAGUAAAAGUGAAGCUGCUCUGGAUGAAGUAGUGAAGCAAGAGUAGGGGCCUGAAUCCUGCUACAACUAUCUUCCUUUACCACCGUGGUGACACCUAAGGGGACUUCCUUACAACACCUUGAACUCUUCCGAACACAGUUUGAAAACCACUGCCCCAGACAGCAAUAUGUUUGACCUGAAUGGCAUUCCAAUCUUUUCUGUACCUCCACUCAGCACAGUUCAUGUUCAGUAGAUGCUGAACAUUCUUAGAAAUACUGUGUGUGAACUUAGAAAAGUGCAAGAAGACAGGCAUGUCUUUGACCCCAGGAAUGAUCAUUUGCUGAAGAUGGUGUCAAGUGAACCUAGAUUAACAGCCCUCCACUCCAGAUGGAUAUCCAGUGAUUCCUAGAAUGGGAUAUAGCCAGAGAACAAUUCUAUGCACCCUACACUGACAGACUCCCUUAAGCAACACCAGAUGCUCUACUGGUACUUGAAGUACAUGACUUUGAAGUCUUGACCCUCCAUGAAUACCUGAAUUAUCAGCAAGCGGGUUUUGAAGCUGGUGCCUCAUUGAGGCCAUAUUAGAGCAACUUGUACAUUUGACCUCUUGUUAUCAGCCAUGGUACUCUACUUCGUGUGCAAGAGAUAACUAUGAAAGCCAAAUUCAAAUACUGGCAACAUUUCCUAAAGGGGCUCAAUAUCUAUCAUUCGUCUUCUUUUCCAAACUACACAUCACUGUAUGACUCAACCAGUAGCAGUUAUAUUGCCCCUUGGUUUUUAUUCAGUUUAACUACUGUUUCCAAGAUAAAUGAGCUAAUAAGCUUU